AAUUCUCAAAACUUUAACCGCAUACUGAUUUGUGGUGGUUUUGGACUAUGGGAAUUGCAGGACCCCAUUAAAAAGGGGGGCCAGCUAUCCUGAAAUGCAUAAGUGGGAGCUAGAUGGUGGGCUCUAUUAGUGUGAUAGAGAAAUUUCUGAUCACUAAGAAAGGGUUUACCGGGCUUUUGCUAUAUUCCAACCGUGUCAGCGUUUGACAA
rnacentral:misc_RNA from 1 species